AUUGAACGCUGGCGGCAGGCUUAACACAUGCAAGUCGAGCGGUAGCACAGGGGAGCUUGCUCCCUGGGUGACGAGCGGCGGACGGGUGAGUAAUGUCUGGGAAACUGCCUGAUGGAGGGGGAUAACUACUGGAAACGGUAGCUAAUACCGCAUAACGUCGCAAGACCAAAGAGGGGGACCUUCGGGCCUCUUGCCAUCAGAUGUGCCCAGAUGGGAUUAGCUAGUAGGUGGGGUAAUGGCUCACCUAGGCGACGAUCCCUAUCUGGUCUGAGAGGAUGACCCGCCCCACUGGAACUGAGACACGGUCCAGACUCCUACGGGAGGCAGCAGUGGGGAAUAUUGCACAAUGGGCGCAAGCCUGAUGCAGCCAUGCCGCGUGUGUGAAGAAGGCCUUCGGGUUGUAAAGCACUUUCAGCGAGGAGGAAGGUGGUGAGCUUAAUACGUUCAUCAAUUGACGUUACUCGCAGAAGAAGCACCGGCUAACUCCGUG
rnacentral:rRNA from 1 species